rnacentral:rRNA from 1 species
GCUUGCUCCAAGGGAUCAGUGGCGAACGGGUGAGUAACACGUGAGUAACCUGCCCCAGACUCUGGAAUAAGCGCUGGAAACGGCGUCUAAUACCGGAUACGAGACAGAGAGGCAUCUCUACUGUCUGGAAAGUUUUUCGGUCUGGGAUGGACUCGCGGCCUAUCAGCUUGUUGGUGAGGUAAUGGCUCACCAAGGCGACGACGGGUAGCCGGCCUGAGAGGGCGACCGGCCACACUGGGACUGAGACACGGCCCAGACUCCUACGGGAGGCAGCAGUGGGGAAUAUUGCACAAUGGGCGAAAGCCUGAUGCAGCGACGCCGCGUGAGGGAUGACUGCCUUCGGGUUGUAAACCUCUUUCAGCAGGGAAGAAGCGAAAGUGACGGUACCUGCAGAAGAAGCACCGGCUAACUACGUGCCAGCAGCCGCGGUAAUACGUAGGGUGCGAGCGUUGUCCGGAAUUAUUGGGCGUAAAGAGCUUGUAGGCGGUUUGUCGCGUCUGCUGUGAAAAUCCGGGGCUCAACCCCGGACUUGCAGUGGGUACGGGCAGACUAGAGUAUGGUAGGGGAGACUGGAAUUCCUGGUGUAGCGGUGAAAUGCGCAGAUAUCAGGAGGAACACCGAUGGCGAAGGCAGGUCUCUGGGCCAUUACUGACGCUGAGAAGCGAAAGCAUGGGGAGCGAACAGGAUUAGAUACCCUGGUAGUCCAUGCCGUAAACGUUGGGCGCUAGGUGUGGGACUCAUUCCACGAGUUCCGUGCCGCAGCUAACGCAUUAAGCGCCCCGCCUGGGGAGUACGGCCGCAAGGCUAAAACUCAAAGGAAUUGACGGGGGCCCGCACAAGCGGCGGAGCAUGCGGAUUAAUUCGAUGCAACGCGAAGAACCUUACCAAGGCUUGACAUAUACCGGAAACACCUAGAGAUAGGUGCCCCUUUUGGUCGGUAUACAGGUGGUGCAUGGUUGUCGUCAGCUCGUGUCGUGAGAUGUUGGGUUAAGUCCCGCAACGAGCGCAACCCUCGUUCUAUGUUGCCAGCACGUAAAGGUGGGGACUCAUAGGAAACUGCCGGGUCA